rnacentral:rRNA from 1 species
UAGGGAAUCUUCCGCAAUGGACGAAAGUCUGACGGAGCAACGCCGCGUGAGUGAAGAAGGAUUUCGGUUCGUAAAACUCUGUUGUUAGGGAAGAAAAAAUGUAUAGUAACUAUAUACAAAAGAGACGGUACCUAACCAGAAAGCCACGGCUAACUACGUGCCAGCAGCCGCGGUAAUACGUAGGUGGCAAGCGUUGUCCGGAAUUAUUGGGCGUAAAGCGCGCGCAGGUGGUUUAGAAAGUCUGAUGUGAAAGCCCACGGCUCAACCGGGGAAGGUCAUUGGAAACUAAUCAACUUGAGUGCAGGAGAGAAAAGUGGCAUUCCUAGUGUAGCGGUGAAAUGCGUAGAGAUUAGGAGGGACCCCGGUGGCCAAAGCGGGUUUUUGGCCUGCAACUGACACUGAGGCGCGGAAGCGUGGGGAGCAAACAGG